UGGCGACCGGCGCACGGGUGAGUAACACGUAUCCAACCUGCCGAUAACUCGGGGAUAGCCUUUCGAAAGAAAGAUUAAUACCCGAUGGCAUAAUUAGACCGCAUGGUCUUAUUAUUAAAGAAUUUCGGUUAUCGAUGGGGAUGCGUUCCAUUAGGCAGUUGGUGAGGUAACGGCUCACCAAACCUUCGAUGGAUAGGGGUUCUGAGAGGAAGGUCCCCCACACUGGAACUGAGACACGGUCCAA
rnacentral:rRNA from 1 species